rnacentral:rRNA from 1 species
GUCUAUGGCCAUGCCACGCCCGACUGCAUCUGAUCUCGGAAGUUAAACAAGGUUGGGACUGGUUAGUAUUUGGAUGGGAGACCACCUAGGAAGACUGGUUGCUGUGGGCA